rnacentral:rRNA from 1 species
AUGUCUUGGGCCGGGCCCGACGAGAUCCUCCUCUCCACCUCCCUGGCCGGCUUCUUAGAUAAAAAACUUAUUGUCCUACUACGAGAUGGACGAAAGCUGCUUGGCACUCUCUGCUCAUUCGAUCAGUUUGCAAAUGUUGUUCUUCAGGGUGCUUGUGAACGAGUAAUUGUGGGCGAAUUAUAUUGUGAUGUUCCUCUUGGUUUAUAUGUGAUCCGCGGAGAGAAUGUUGUAUUAAUUGGAGAACUGGAUCGCGAGAAGGACGAACUCCCUAGUCACAUGACUUGUGUUUCAGAGGCUGAAAUAAGAACGGCCGAGAAAGCCGAAAAGGAAGCAAGGGAUCUGAAAGGCACAAUGAGGAAGAGGAUGGAGUUCCUAGACUUCGAUUAG